CCCUUAGAUGUUCUGGGCCGCACGCGCGCUACACUGACGAAUGCAACGAGCUUAUAACCUUGGCCGAAAGGUCUGGGUAAUCUCCAAAUUUCGUCGUGAUGGGGAUAGAUUAUUGCAAUUAUUAAUCUUCAACGAGGAAUGCCUAGUAAGCGCAGGUCAUCAGCUUGCGUUGAUUACGUCCCUGCCCUUUGUACACACCGCCCGUCGCUCCUACCGAUUGAAUGGUCCGGUGAAGCGUUCGGACCGUGGCCUUUGGACGGUUCGCCGUCUGUUGGCUGCGGGAAGUUCGUUAAACCUUAUCAUUUAGAGGAAGGAGAANUCGUAACA
rnacentral:rRNA from 1 species